rnacentral:rRNA from 14 species
CUUCGCUUUUCAGCAGCGUCGCCGACUGACUGCGUGCCUUCAAUUGUAACGGGCGGUGGAGGAUCAGGGCUCGAUUGCAGAGAGGGAGCCUGAGAGUCAGCCACCACAUCCGAAGAAGCAGCAGGCGCCCAAAUCACCCGACUCAGAAU